rnacentral:misc_RNA from 1 species
AAGUCGUAACAAGGUUUCCGUAGGUGAACCUGCGGAAGGAUCAUUAUUGAAGCUCGGAAUGCAUGUCCGGUGUUGAUGCUGCCCAGCAAUGGGAUGUGCUCGCUCGGACGUGUGUCCCUUCUCUAUUCCACCCCUUUGUGAACCAAGUGUGCGAGCCGAAGAGAGAUCGGAAGCUUGCAUGCAAACCUUAACAUACCCCAAUGAAGUAUCAGAAUGUAACUUGCGUUAACUCGCACAAAUAUAACUUUCAACAACGGAUCUCUUGGCUCUC